AAGAGGAAGGCCAACGAGGAGGUACAGUAUAUGGAUGUAAUUAAUGUGGAUAUGAAGCUAGUGGGUGCAAGUGUUGAGGAUGCAGAAGAUAGGGAUAGGUGGAGAGAGAUGAUUCGCUGUGCGACCCCUGAAAGGAAAAACCGAAAGAAGAAGAAGAAUUAUUCACAAACGAGCUGAAUAAGUGGGUGGACUCUCUGAUGCGGACUCCACUGUACGUUCACUCCCACUGCUGGAGCUGCAGGACAUCAUGACCAGCGUCUCGGGUCGUAUCCCUGUCACGGUGGAGAAAGUCAUCCGCAAGAUUAUGGCCCAGUACGCCAGCAACAUCACCUCUGUUCUCUGUCAGUUCCCCAGCCAGAGGACGGACGUUUGUUUUGCUUUAGAUUGCGAAUAUCCUGGACAGUCACGCAGCCAUGCUACAGAAGAAAGCAGACCGUGAGGUUUUCUUCAUGAACACUCAGAGCAUGGUGCAGCUCGUGCAGAGAAACUCAUCCUGUCUGA